ensembl:lncRNA TPTEP1 TPTE pseudogene 1
GCCUCUCCCGGUACCUGCUGCUGCUCCCGGGGCUUCGGGAAAUGCGAGAGUCUGAGCCGGGGAGGAGGAACCCGAGCAGCGGCGGCGGCGGCCGCGGCGGCGGGAGCCCCCCAAGAGGAGGACCGGGAUCCAUGUGUCUUUCCUGGUGACUAGGAUGUCGUCGGAGGAGAACAAGUGCGUGGAGCAGCCGCAGCCACCACCCCCCGAGGAGCCUGGAGCCCCGGCCCCGAGCCCCCCAGCCGCAGACAAAAGACCUCGGGGCCGGCCUCGCAAGGCGCUUCCCCUUUCCAGAGAGCCAGAAAGAAACUCAGCCCACCUGCACCCAGGUGAAAUAAACAGCUUUAUUGCUCACACGAAGCCUGUUUGGUGGUCUCUUCACACGGAUGCGCAUGAAAUUUGGUGCCGUGACUUGGAUCGGGGGACCUCCCUUAGGAGAUCAAUCCCCCGUCCUCCUGCUCUUUGCUCCGUGAGAAAGAUCCACCUACGACCUCAGGUCCUCAGACCGACCAGCCCAAGAAACAUCUCACCAAUUUCAAAUCUGAUCUAUUCGGCUUAGCGACUGAAGAUUGACGCUGCCCGAUCGCCUCGGAAGUCCCCUGGACCAUCACAGAAGCCGAGCUUCGGGUAACUCUCACAGUGGAGGAGUUAUGGAUUCACUACCAGAUUCUACUGUAUGCUCUGACAACUAUGACCACAAUGGCAGCAAGAUUAAGAAAAUUGUGCAUUCAAUUAUAUCAUCCUUUGCAUUUGGACUAUUUGGAGUUUUCCUGGUCUUACUGGAUGUCACUCUCGUCCUUGCCGACCUAAUUUUCACUGACAGCAAACUUUAUAUUCCUUCGGAGUAUCGUUCUAUUUCUCUAGCUAUUGCCUUAUUUUUUCUCAUGGAUGUUCUUCUUCGAGUAUUUGUAGAAGGGUAUGGUUUCUGUGGAUUCUCUGCUCUUUGUGCUCUCCUCCCCACAUUGGUGGCUCCACCUGGCACAGGGAAGCUUCUGGAUUCCAGAAGGGAACAACACUACAGUCGCCCGUAGUUUUGUUUCUGUUCAGUCUCCAUUGUGGCAUGCCACACUCUCCUGGUUUGGGCCCUGCUCAUUUCUUUACUGCCUUCCUGCCUGCCCUUUUUGUGCAGGUGGAUUCUUGCUCUGUCACCCAGGCUGGAGCGUAAUGGCACAAUCUUCGCUCACUUCAACCUCUGCCUUCUGGGUUCGAGCAAUUCUCCUGCCUCAGCCUCCUGAGUAACUGGGAUUACAGGCGUGUACCACCACAUCUGGCUAAUUUUUGUAUUUUUAGUAGGGACGGUGUUUUACCAUAUUGGCCAGGCUGGUCUUGAGCUCCUGAACUCAAGUGAUCCACUCGCCUCAGCCUCCCAAAGUGCUGAGAUUACAGGCUUGAGCAACCUUGCCCAGCCAAAAGUAAACUUUUUAAUUCCAUCA